CCUACGGGUGGCUGCAGUGAGGAAUAUUGGUCAAUGGACGAGAGUCUGAACCAGCCAAGUCGCGUGAAGGAUGACUGCCCUAUGUGUUGUAAACUUCUUUUAUAUGGGAAUAAAAUGUUCCACGUGUGGGAUUUUGUAUGUACCAUAUGAAUAAGGAUCGGCUAACUCCGUGCCAGCAGCCGCGGUAAUACGGAGGAUCCGAGCGUUAUCCGGAUUUAUUGGGUUUAAAGGAAGCGUAGAGGGGUUGUUAAGUCAGUUGUGAAAGUUUGGGGCUCAACCGUAAAAUUGCAAUUGAUACUGGCAGACUUGAGUACAGUUGAGGUAGGCGGAAUGCGUGGUGUAGCGGUGAAAUGCGUAGAUAUCACGAAGAACUCCGAUUGCGAAGGCAGCUUACUAAACUGCCACUGACGCUGAGGCUCGAAAGUGUGGGUAUCAAACAGGAUUAGAUACCCCAGUAGUC
rnacentral:rRNA from 1 species